GCAUGGUCCUCUGGGAAAGCUUUUGCGGUAUGGGAUGGGGUCGCGUCCUAUCAGCUUGAUGGCGGGGUAACGGCCCACCAUGGCUUCGACGGGUAGCCGGCCUGAGAGGGCGACCGGCCACAUUGGGACUGAGAUACGGCCCAGACUCCUACGGGAGGCAGCAGUGGGGGAUAUUGCACAAUGGGCGCAAGCCUGAUGCAGCGACGCCGCGUGCGGGAUGACGGCCUUCGGGUUGUAAACCGCUUUUGACUGGGAGCAAGCCCUUCGGGGUGAGUGUACCUUUCGAAUAAGCACCGGCUAACUACGUGCCAGCAGCCGCGGUAAUACGUAGGGUGCAAGCGUUAUCCGGAAUUAUUGGGCGUAAAGGGCUCGUAGGCGGUUCGUCGCGUCCGGUGUGAAAGUCCAUCGCUUAACGGUGGAUCCGCGCCGGGUACGGGCGGGCUUGAGUGCGGUAGGGGAGACUGGAAUUCCCGGUGUAACGGUGGAAUGUGUAGAUAUCGGGAAGAACACCAAUGGCGAAGGCAGGUCUCUGGGCCGUCACUGACGCUGAGGAGCGAAAGCGUGGGGAGCGAACAGGAUUAGAUACCCUGGUAGUCCACGCCGUAAACGAUGGAU
rnacentral:rRNA from 1 species